GUUAGUCACAUAGCUCAUAUUUUUAUUAGGUAUGCAAACUUCCUUUUUUUAUUUGUCACAACUUUCUCACACAAUUGAAUCAAAAGGAGUUGCAAGACUCACACAACCAACAAAAUUGUAUUUCACAAACUUUUCAAUAUUAUGUGACUCGACAAGGAAAAUACAUCACAUGUUUAAUGGUAUUUCUUCAUUUCAAGAAUGAAUUUUUUUCCUCACCCAAAACAUUUCAUGUUAAAUGGCUACUCUACAUGGCUUUCAUAAUUUAUUUGUAACUCUCAUGU
rnacentral:lncRNA from 1 species